rnacentral:rRNA from 1 species
UACAGAGGGGGCGAGCGUUAUUCGGAAUUAUUGGGCGUAAAGGCGGCGUAGGAGCGGCCUUUCAAGUGACGGGUGAAAUCCCUCGGCUUAACCGAGGAACUGCCUGUCAGACUGGAAGGCUUGAGACCGGGAGAGGUGAGUGGAAUUCCCAGUGUAGCGGUGAAAUGCGUAGAUAUUGGGAGGAACACCAGUGGCGAAGGCGGCUCACUGGACCGGUACUGACGCUGAGACGCGAAAGCGUGGGGAGCGAACAGG